AUAGAACUCUGGCCAGAGAGACUGUAGGAAGGUUUGUCUACUAAGAGCAAAGACCAGGGAUUUAUGGGUGAGGCAGCAUGGCUUCAGCUGGAGGAAGAGGAGUGGGUAGUGCUGGUGUUCCCUCUGAAGUGUGACCCUGAAAGAGUUGUUUUAAGAAAGCAGAUUCCUCUGUCUGUGUUUGUGAACAGGAGCGUUGGGCCUAAAGCCUUUCUCUGGUAACUCUCCAGGAAGAU